rnacentral:rRNA from 1 species
AGACGACGCUGGCGGCGUGGAUUAGGCAUGCAAGUCGAACGGUAUCAUCCUUUCGGGGGUGAGAGAGUGGCGAACUGGUGAGUAACACGUAGGUUAUCUACCCUCAAGGACGGGGACAACCCAGGGAAACUUGGGCUAAUACCGGAUGUGAGCAACUUUAGUUGUUUGAAAGGUGGCGUAAGCUGUCGCUUGGGGAUGAGCCUGCGUCCUAUUAGUUAGUUGGUGAGGUAACGGCUCACCUAGGCAAUGAUAGGUAGGCGGCCUUAACGGGUGGUCGCCCACACUGGGAUUGAGAUACGGCCCAGACUCCUACGGGAGGCAGCAGUCGAGAAUAGUCUACAAUGGUCGGAAGACUGAUAGUGCGACGCCGCGUGAACGAUGAAUCCCUUCGGGGUGUAAAGUUCUUUUAUAUGUGAGCAGUGCUUCUUAUAUUAACAGUAUGGGGAGAGAGAUAUUAGCAUAUGAAUAAGCAACGGCUAACUCCGUG